CGUGGCGGUGGCCACGUUCGACGGGGCCGGGCAGCUUCUGGCCGCCGCCGGGCCCGGCGAGCACGUCGCCGCGCUGCGC
rnacentral:tRNA from 1 species